rnacentral:rRNA from 1 species
AUUGAACGCUGGCGGCAGGCCUAACACAUGCAAGUCGAACGAGCGGCGGACGGGUGAGUAAUGUAUGGGAAACUGCCUGAUGGAGGGGGAUAACUACUGGAAACGGUAGCUAAUACCGCAUACCAUCAGAUGUGCCCAGAUGGGAUUAGCUUGUGGGUGGGGUAAAGGUUCACCAAGGCGACGAUCCCUAGCGGGUCUGAGAGGUUGACCAUCCACACUGUGACUGCGACACGGUCCAGACGCCUACGGGAGGCAGCAGUGGUGAAUAUUGCACAAUGGGCGCAAGCCUGAUGCAGCCAGGCCGCGUGGAUGAAGAAGGCCUUCGGGUUGUAAAGUACUUUCAGCGGGGAGGCGUUACCCGCAGAAGAAGCACCGGCUAACGCCGUGCCAGCCGCCGCGGUAAUUC